UACGGAGGAUGCAAGCGUUAUCCGGAAUGAUUGGGCGUAAAGCGUCCGCAGGUGGCUAUGUAAGUCUGCUGUUAAAGAGUGAGGCUCAACCUCAUAAGAGCAGUGGAAACUACAUGGCUAGAGUGCGUUCGGGGCAGAGGGAAUUCCUGGUGUAGCGGUGAAAUGCGUACAGAUCAGGAAGAACACCGGUGGCGAAAGCGCUCUGCUAGGCCGCAACUGACACUGAGGGACGAAAGCUAGGGGAGCAAACAGG
rnacentral:rRNA from 1 species